AGUUGAAAUUGAUUGUGUAUUUAGGUUGUUUGUUAGGGAGGAAGAGCCCCCAAUGCUUCUCCAAUUCUGGGGUUUUGUUGUCCUCGUCAAACAUGGCAAACACAUAAGUCUCAAUAGGUCCUGUAGGCCUCUUUGGAGUCCCACCUUUGACAUGCUGAAUCAAAUUGGAGUUGUAAGUCCUUGCAUUAUCAACUGUGGUUUGUGUCCCGCCGGCUGAAGGCCAACCACUCUCUGAAACAACAAUCUUCAAAGAACUCCCACCAGCCCUCUCCAGCGCUGAGUAAACAGCAUCCAAUAUGGCAUCAAAAAGAUUCUUGUAACCAAGCUGCCCAUCUUGCACCACAACUCCAGGAGCUGUGAAAAGAGCAUAAUUCAGAUUGCUAAGGUCACUGAAAUAAGGGUACAAGUUGACAAGUAAUGGGGCAUUGUUCUUGACUAAGAAGCUGAUGAUGGAAGUGAGAAAUGACAGGACGCCACUCUUGAAGGAGCCACUUGAUGGUGGGUAGGACACUCCUAGAACUCCAGUGUCAAUGGCGGUGGAGACCUUGAUUUGGUUCCCUAGGCCGGCGGACGAAAUUGCAUUGUUAAUGUUUUGCAUGGCAGGGAGAACAAAUUGGGCCUGGGCGCCUGAAGGACUCACUUCGUUUCCAACUGCGAUGUACCGGAACUUUACAUUAAGAUGGUUUUUUAUGUUGUCUUGGACCCAUGAAUCGGCAUUGGCCUGGCUGGAAGCAAUAUUUUGGAGGUUAUCGUUGGGGACGCCUAGGAUGAGCUCAAUAUUAGAGCCUCCAAGGGCUUGGAGAGCAUCUUGUCUAGUGUCAUAUAGUCGCAUUCUUCGGAUGUUGUACUGGUUGUAGAGAGCUACAACUUCUCCUGGUGCUGGCAAGUUGUUGCCAUUCCUGCCAUAACAAACUCCUAUUUGGGCACCUGCAAUAUUAGAUUUAACAAAUUACGAAGGCUGUGAUUUUGAUGUUCCUCUAUGGGAAAUACGUACUAUAAAGCAAAGGCGAUCAGUCCAGGGUAUGCAAAGAGAGGAAACCAUUUGAAGAUUUAAAAUAAAUAAUAAAUACUAUAAAUGAAGUAUAAGUUUUAGUAACAUGAGUGGGAAUGGGUUGAACCAAGAUGAGUCCAAAAAAGUAUGAAGACAGUGGUACAGAAAGGGACUAAGGAAGAGACCUGUUAUCUCUAGACUAGCCAUUAGCAGCCCAAAAAGAAGCAGCAUUGCAGCCAUCCUUGGGGGGCUUUUUCCUGCUGAAUAGAGCUUAGCCAUGGAGUUGAAGAAAGAGAAGAAUGAGAAGGUAAGAUAUAUGUUUAAGGCUAGGAUUUAGCUCCCCUUUUAUAGAGGCUUUGCGCUUGGGAAUUUAAGUGAUUAGAGCCCCGAGUUUCCACGGCUCCGCUUGCAGGUCAAUCACUCCGUGGAAAAAUCAGCAUUCAUCAUUCAAUUCGAUUGUACCUGUUUUCUGGGAUUUUUUUUUCUGCCUUUGAAAAGUCAUCCAUCUUCUCGAUGCCUAUUUUGAGGGUUGCUUGUUGCUAGCUAACGUUUAUUAAGAACUUUAACAUGCAUAUUGUGUCAUAAAUUUUUAGCUUUAUAUGCAAUUCUUAUAGUUGAGUGUUCAGGAAGCAGAGUUUUGAGAAAGGCUCUAAAGCACCUUCAAAUGGACUUAAGAGAUUCAUGGGUAUUGGUAUUGAAUUCAUAAUAUAUAAUCGAUCUGGAUUUUAUUUGACGCGAACUUUCCUUUAUAUGGAAUAAAUAAUGUUGCCCAUGGGCUGCAAUUUUGUUUCAUGACCCAGAAGUUUUUGAUCCUCCAUCUUAACUUGGCUGGUUUGGAUCCGUUCGAUAUGCCACCGACAUAAAAAAAAAGAACCACACAAGUUACAGAAAAAUAAAAAAGGCAAUGUCCGUGGUGCUUGAAGAAACGUUCAUAAAUGUCUGGUAUAGUAGUAGGGCCAGGUUAAUUUCAAACAAAUGGAUAAUGUUAUACACAAUUUCUAUGAAGAUGUGUGGAAAUUACUAUAUGUUCUCCAACAUCCCAUGUGAAUUCAGGGAUGCAUUUUGCUUAUCCUUCACGGAUCUCUCUUCCUGGACGCCGGAUCGUGGCCCAUUAUCAAUGGUACUGGGAAGAUCGUUGAAUUUUGAAGUUGGUGGUAUCAUAGAUGAUGACAAACAUCUCCUAAGCCAUCCUCUUUUAGUCAAGUCUUCCGGUAACUGAUCUUAUCCUGUUAGGCUCCGGUGAGCUCACGUUAGACCCUCAUGACUUUGACUUGGCAACAACCCCAAUUCACGGAACGACAAGCACAAUUCCUCAAAGGAAAAAUAAAAAAUAAAAAACCACCCAAAUUGGUGACUAUUUAUUUGUUUUAGGUUUGUUUUUCUCUCUUAUUAGUCCAUUUUUCUCUAGAGUGAGCUGGUAUAGAAGUGCUGGACGAAACCAACCCCCAAGUUGGACCAUCUCAGCUGGCCAGCAUAGCUAUUGAUUUAUCCCCCAACUUGGUUCGAUACCAAGCCCCAAAAUUUCACCCAAGCAAUGGCCUAGCUGGUGGGCCUCCACUUUCCAUCAUGGGCCAUAGGUGUACUAUCUUAUCAUAAUCUUGUCUGAUGGGUAAGCGACAACUUGAAAUCUAUAGACUUUUCAACAUUAGCGCCAUAGGCCCAUAGCCCACAUGCAAAUGAGACAAUUUAAGGAUUAACAUAGGUCAUGGAAUAUAUUUGGGGGUUGUACAGUGAGAUGGACGUAUACAUACCAUCAAAUGUACAAGUCAUUAUCUUUCAUUUAAGAUAAUUAUGGGAUUUUAUUUUAUUUUCUUCCACAAUGCAGCUUUCUUUGUGCUGCGAAGACUCGGGACUUCUACUGGAUUUUCUAGUGUUACACAAAGAUUUUACUCAAGUAGAAGUAGAUAAUAACUUCUUUUAUUAGAUAUGUCCGCCUCCAAAUGGGAUUUUUGUCUUAGAGAAAGUAAAUAACAUUUUUGCCUCCCAUUUUGCCACGAGGCUACAAACCCUUAUUUAUUGUAGAACUAGUACACAAGAAAAAAAAAAAAGAGCCUUUAUUCCUUAGUAAUUUUGUAGGCUCUUAGUUGAAAUUGAUUGGGUAUUUAGCCUGUUUGUUUGGUAAAAAGAGCCCCCAGUGUUUCUCAUAUUCUGGGGAUUUCCUGUUCUCAUUAAACAUGGCAAACACGUAAGUCUCGAUAGGCCCUCCAGGCUUCUUUGGAGUCCCACCCUUGACAUGCUGAAUCAAAUUGGAGUUGUAAGUCUUUGCAUUAUCAACUGUGGUUGCCGUCCCACCGGCUGAUGGCCAACCACUCUCUGAAAUAACAACCUGCAAAGAACCGCCACCAGCCCUCUCAAGUGCCGAGUAAACAGCAUCCAAUAUGGCAUCAAAAAGAUUUCUGUAACCAAGCUGUCCAUCUUGCACCACAACUCCAGGAGCCUUGAAAAGAGCAUAAUCUAGGCGAAUGUCCCGGGUGUUACCAAUGUAACUGAAGUAAGGGUACAGGUUAACAAGCAGUGGGGCACGGUUUUUGACCAGGAAGCUGAUGAUGGGGUUGAGAAAGGACGUGACUUCAGGCUUGAAGGCGCCUUUUGAUGGAGGGUAGGAUGUUCCCAGAACCCCAGUGUCAAUGGCAGUGGAAACUUUAAUUUGGUUCCCCAGGCCAGCUGCGGAAAUUGCAUUGAAAAUGUUUCUCAUGGCAGGGAGAACAAAUUGGGCAGUGGGGCCCGUAGGGCUUACUUCAUUUCCAACCGCAACGUAUCGGAAUCUGACAUUACCGUAGUUUUUAAUAUUGUUUUGAACCCAUGAAUUGGCAUUGCCUUGGAUGGAAGCAAUGUUUUGAAGAGCAUCAUUUGGGACACCUAUCAUGAGCUCAAUGUUGGAGCCUCUAAGGGCUUGGAGAGCAGCUUGGUUAGGGUCGUAGAGUCUCAUUCUUCGGAUGCUGUACUGGUUAUAGAGACCUACAACUUGCCCUGGCGGUGGCAAGUUGUCACCCUCCAUUCCAUAACACACUCCCGUUUGGGCAACUGCAAUAUUUGAUAAAAUUGUACAAAGUCAUGAAUCAGUAAUAAAGCAUAUAUACAAAACUUAAUCAAAGUUCUCCCAACUUUUGGGAAAAUGAUUAAUCGUACAAGACGAAAGGGACGAGAGAAAGACCUGUUAAGUGUAGGCUAGCCAUUAGCAGCCCAAAAACAAGCAGCAGUGUGGCCAUUCUUGAAGAACUUUUAACAGUGGAAUCAAACAUAGCCAUGAUGGAGAAGAAAGAGAAAAAUAAGAAGCUAGGUUGUAUGCAUUAACACCGAGAUUUAGCUCCCUUUUAUAGACAGUGGAUGGACGCAUGCACCCAGAAUUUUAAGUGAUGAUAAUGCUAGUCUCCACCUCGCAAGUCAAGCACUCCAUGGAAAUUUGAGAGAAGAUUACAUAAAUAAAUAAAUCCACCUCCCCAACCAGCUUGUACGUGCACUACUAAGUGCCAUUCUGUCUGUUUUCUGAGACUUUUCUCCCCUUUGAAAAGUCCUACAUUACAUCCUCAUAUUGAAGUUAAUAAUUCUCUAUCCUCUGGAUUUCACUUCUUUUAGGAAGGGGAAAUGCAAUUUUUAGCUAGGUUCAUUGAAUCCCAAUUACUUUAGAGCUUCCACUAUGAACUUUAAGAAUAUGUUUUAUAUAAUGAUUUUAAAAAGUGUUUUUAAUUUUUUUAAUAUUUAAAAUUUUUUAUUUUUUAAGUGUUAAAAAUAAUAAAAAAUACUUUUUAAAAUUACUAUUAAAUACACUCUUAAAAUAUGUUUCACAAUAAUUUUAAAAAAUAAUUUUAAUUUUUUUUUAAAAAUUAUUAAAAAUAUUAAAAACAUUUUUUAAAAUCACGAUAACUUAAAAGAUUGCAACUUUCAGGUCACAUUAAAUUCACCAUCAAAUGCACUGUGCUCAAAUGUACAGCAACUUAAGAUACUUAAAUGCAACUUCCAGGUCACAUUAAAUUGGGAUUAAUCUGAGUUUCUGACCCACUUCAAAUAAAGGUAAAUAUAAAACACUAGGCUCCUUUUGGGCCGCACGAAAAUAUCAGACCCUUACAUCUUGUUUCGUACGCGGAUGUGAGGUAAUGGGAUGAAUAGUCAAAUAACUUAAUCCGAGAUCUUUCUGGUUCUAAUGUAAACACCUCCCUUUUGAUGAUUUUUCCCCAUCCGAGUCCCACUCUCCGUCUACUCCAACUUAGACUAAACGGCACGCACGGCAUGAAAAAUAAAGGAAUUAAAAAAUUUACUCCUAUUAAUAUUUUUAAUGUCACAAUUGUAUAUUCAAUUUUUAAAUUUUGAAUAUAAAAUAAUAUAUAAUAUAUUAUUUUUUAAAGCAUUAUAAAUAUAAAAUUACCUAAUAAUAAUAAUACAUAGAAAUAAUUUAUUAAAAUGAUGAAAUACUUCUCAUGUUUAUAAAUUUAUUUUUUUUUUCAUAUUUUUAUUUGAAGAUUAACUCAUUUUUAAUAUAAAUAUCAUUGACUAUUUCAAGUAUUUAUAUUAUAUUUAAAAAAAAUAUUUUUAGAAGAAAAUAUAAGAAGAUUUUUAUCAAUAUGAAACCAAAAAAAAUAAAGGAUUAAAUUUUAAAAUUUGAGUUUUUAAUAAUCAUUUUAAUUAAAUAAUCCUAAUAUAUAAUCAUGGUAUGAAUUAGGGUAGCGAAGGGAUUUUUUUUUCAUUUUUAUUUUUGUCUAAUUAUAUAUAUAAAUAAUGAGUCCCACUUCCCUUCCGUUUUCUUAUCCCUUUUCAAAAAGAAAAGAAAAAAAAAAGGAGUAAUAUAAAAAUAAUACUUAUUUAGUAAAUCUUCAAUAUUAUUAAUCAAGAAAAGUAAGGCAGCAAAGACUUGAGCAACGAGGUUCCUAAAUGCAAGUGUGGAGAGGGUGAUGACCAAGACCAAAACAUUAGCCACAUAAAAUGCCAAUUGCCAAACCAUAUCAUUGCCCCUAUUUCAAACAAGAUUAGCCACAUAAUUUGCACAUGGGCAGCAGAAGAAGUCACUAUCCAUGUGGAAAUUCCCCUUGUCCACUCUUAGCAAACAAUGUGCGUUGAUGGAAAACAUUUUCCAGGCCGUUGGAUUUGAGUGAUGGUAUGUGGAAAUUUGAAGCUUUAAGAAGUGGGUAUCAUAAAUUUAUCAAAUUACAAUUGGUUCAAUGACUUAGUCUAUCUUGAUAGGCUUGGAGUGGGACUUGACCCAACUGGCUGCACUUGGUGACGAGCGCAAAUCAUGGUGUGACAACUGACAAAUAAAACUCCAAAAUCCAAUUUGAUUUCCGGAUAAGGAUGAUUUUAUUAGAAAGUUCUUAAAUAUUGAUAUUGAGAUGAGUAAUAAUAAAAUUGGUUCUUUUCGAUUAUGGAGUGGAAUAAUUUAAAUUAGAAUGAAACAUAAAAAAGAUUUAGAAAUGCGCCAAAGUUUUGUUUUUUAAGUUUAUGUUUCACAACUUUUUUUAAGAAUAUUUUUUAUUUCUUUAUAAAAAAAAACAAUAAAAACAUGUUUUACAACUAGAAAUUUAUUAUUUAUUUUUUAUUCUUAAAAAUAUAAAAUAUAAUAUUUUGAAGUGUAUUUUUUAGUUAUUUUUAAUUGUUUUUACUUAUUUUUUAAAAAUAAUUAUAUAAUUACGUAAAAUGAUUAAAAAAAUAUUAAUUAAAUAUAAAAAUAUUUCCAAAUUAUAUUUAAAAAUAUUAAUAAUAGGUUAAAAAUAUUCUAUGAUUGUAAAUGAAUUUUUGUUUUAUAAAAUAUUAAAUAAUAAUUUUUAAAACUUAUUUUUAAAAAUAAUUAUCAAUGGUCUAAAUCAUUUAAGUUGUUGUCGUCUGUACGACCUACCUACCACCACAAAAAACUUGAUAUUAAAAAUCAAAAUAGCACUUAAGCGUAACUCUUAAAGCUACGUAGUAGACAAGUUAAAAAAUUCAUGUAGGUUCAUAUCUUAGUUAUCAUGUUAAAUCUUGGGAUAAUCAAUAAUGAAAUCAUUCUCACUUUGUAAAAUUAAUAUUUCACCAUUUUUUAACCUAAAAAUUACCUAUUUUGGACAAAAAUGUCCUUAUCUUUUCUCAUAAAAAUAACUUUAGGGUAUUUAUGUUAAAAUUAGAUUACACUUCAAGUUCAAAAAUUAAAAAGAUUAGUUUUACAAAUUUAAGAUUCUUUCAUCCUUUUUAACCUAUUAAUCCUUAAAUAUUUCAAAUAAUUGGUAUAUAUAUAGAGUAGACUUGGGCUCAAAAAAGUAAAAAUAAAAAUGGGAAGGUGUUAAUGUCUCCAUAUAAGUCAGAUAUAUGCAAAAACUGAAUUAAGGAAAUUUCUAAAACAACUUCACAUCAAUAUGGAUAGGAAUCAGCCAAUCAGGGAAGAGAUUGGCAUAUAAGGAUAUAUGAUAAAAGCACUAUACUAUUUUAUUAAACAUGCUAGCCUUUCUAAGGCGCUUUUACAGUAAGCAUAUAAAGCUCUGCAUGACACUUUUUGAUGCGGCAUGCUGCAUGCGGCACGCGGCAGCUCAGCACUCAUGAGCCCUUAUUUAGGAUAAUAUAUAGUUAACCAUGCCCUUUGCUGCACUCAAUUUCGAGUAUGGUAUACAGGCUGUUUAUUUGGAUAAAAGAGGCCCCAAUGUUUCUCAAACGCCGGUUCUUUCUUAUUCUCAUUAAACAUGGAAAAUAGGUAAGUUUGUAUAGGUUUUCCAGGCCUCUUGGGAGUUCCUCCCUUCACGUGCCGAAGCAAAUUUGUGUUGUAAGUCCUAGCAUUCUCGACUGUCGAAGCCAACCCACCAGCCGAUGGCCAACCAGUCUCAGCCACAACAAUCUCCAAAGAACCCCCACCAGCCUUCUCCAGAGCUGAGUAAGCAGCAUCCAGUACUGCAUCGAACAUGUUUUGGUACCCAAACUGCCCAUCAUGCACCACUACUCCGGGAGAUGUGAAGAGAGCAUAUUCCAGACUCAUGAGAUGAGGGCUGCCAAUGUAACUGAAAUAGGUAUACAUGUUCAGGAAAAAUGGGGCAUGGGUGUCCACUAGGAAUCGGAUGAUUGGAUUAAUGAAUGAUUCCAUAUGGGGUUUGAAGGAACCUUUGGAUGGAGGGUAGGAUUCUCCAAGGAUCUCGGUGCUGAAGGGGGUUGAGACCUUGAUUUGGUUGCCAAGUCCAGCCUCUGAAAUUGCCCGAUGAAUGUUUUUCAUGGCCCCCAGGAGAUGAUUUGCUUCCCAUGCGGGAGGAUGUAUUUCAUUGCCAACAGCUAUGUAUCGAAAAUUGACAUUGGCAUAGUUUCUAAUGUUGUUGUGGACCCAAGAAUAUGCGUUGGCCAUGUUGGUAGCAAUGUGGCAAAGAUCUUCGUUUGCUACACCAACCAUGACCUCGAUAUUAGAGCCUCUGAGGGCUUGGAGGACAUGUGGGAGGGGAGAGUAAAUCCGCAUUCUUGGGAUGUUGUUGUGUUUGUAGAGAUGUAUAACUUCGUGGGGUGGUGGUAAGUUGUCCCCCAGUAAUCCGUAGCAAACUCCAACGUGGGCACCUGCUUUGAAAAUGAUCAGUCUCUGCUAAAAAGAUUGAUACAGUUUUAAAUGAAGAUUGCGACAAUUUUAAUGUCCAAUUAACUAACUAAAAAAUAUGCUGCCCACGUUAAAUAAUAGAAGCAAAGCGCAUACGACAUACAAUGGGUCCCGGCAAAGUGAAUAUUUCAAAUAAAAGUCAAACUUUUCGGAUAAAGCAGUCCGCCACAAAUGGUAAGUAAGACACAGAAGCAGUUGCAGCAGAAAAUUAAAAGAUGGAAUGAUCAGGUUGUACCAAAAUUUCUCAUUUCCACGGCAGUGACUUCUUUUAGUUUUCCCCUUGAGCCUUCAGAAGCCAAAAGCUUCUCUGUUCUCCCACAAUACACCCUCCCAGCUGCCGAACCACUCCUCUUACCUAUUUCUUUUCGUCCCUUCUCUCCUUUUAUAGCUUCCCAUUCCAGGACCCAGCUUAAUUCCGACGCAGGAACCCUCAUUGCAAUCGACAUGUAUCAUGUGUGUAGAAUUCCCAAACAGCAGCCGCCGCAUAAUCCCCAGAUUUAACCCAUGCUGCUCGUGAUCAGAAUGAUAUUUGUGAGUCCUGGAAUCCCAUGCCUGAGCAGAAGCAUUGGAUUUUGAAGCAAAUUAAAGCUUCAAGAACAAGCAAUCAAGAUAUUCAGAGCAACCUCCAUUACAGAAGUGGCUUCUUUUGUCAAGAGUUAUGCAUGUUACCUCAUAGGUAUUAGGUACGACGCAUGUCUCCCAAACAGUUGGUAUGAUCAUAAGACACAAGUCACACUUUCCAUUGGUCAAAAUUCUAUUAUAUCCACCCAAGAAUCAAUUGCAAAAUGUCAUGUUCAAUAGUUUAAUUAUGCCAUGUUUGGUUGCAGGCUUGCAGCGAUAUAUAUAUAUAUAUGUGAAAACAGUUUUUUUUUUCUAUUUUUUUAGAAAAUUCUUAUUAAAAAUAUAUUUAAAACUUAAAGAAUAGGAUGCUUCAUUUUCAUUAAAAAAACUAUUUUCAAAAGUCAAAACUAAAUGAAAUCAUAAAAAACAAGUAAAAACAUUAAGUGAAUGUUUGGUAAUUAUUUUUUUAAAACAACUCUAAAAAAUUGUUUUAAUUUGAGAAUAAUUUUUUAAAAUUGAUAUUUGAUUUUUGUAGAAUAAAAUUCUGUUUGAAAACCUAAAAUAUUUUUAAUUUGUUUUUAAUAUUUUUUAAAAUAAAUUUUAUAUCUAAUGUUUUAUUUUUAAUUAUUCUACAUGAUUGUAUAAUUAUUUCUUAAAACAGCACAACAAAUGAAAACAACUAAAAAAUGUUUUUAGAAAAUAUUAUAUUUUUUAUUCUUAAGAAUAGAAAAUAGGAAAAAAAAAAAAAACAAUUUUUAGUUAUCAAACAUGAUUUUUACGUUUUUUAUUCUAGAAAACAUAAAAAUAUUCUAAAAAAUAGUUUUCAAACAAGUUUUAAAAGUUUCGUUUAAAAGACGAGAUUGAUUUUAUCACAAUAAUUUAUUUUAAUAUCAUCCUAAGUGUUUUUCAAAGGCAUAUAGAAAGAUUAAUUAAUUAUAAAAGAUGAUGUUGCAACAAAAUUUUUUUUAAAAAAAUUGCUUUUUAAAAAAAAAACUUUUUCUUGGCUUUUAUAAAUAAAAAUAUAUUCACUUAUAUAUUUAUUUAUAGGAAAAUACAAAAUAAGAAACUAAAAUGAUAAAUAAUCCUAAUGAUAGGAAAACAAAGAACAAUGUAACAUGGACGGACCUUUAAACUUAAGCUAUAUGUGGUCUAUAUUAAAUAAUCAAAGAUAACUUUGAUAAUUAAUUAAUUGAUUAAUAAAUACAAUGUCAAAUAAAUAACAAAAUUAAUUUUCUUAGAUUAUCGCAUUUUGACUUGAUGGGAAAUCAAUGCAAAUAUAGAUGGCUAGCAAGGGGAGGAGUGAAUCGAUCGAGAUGACCACUAGGGUUUGUGGUUGUAGUAGAUCUACUCUUAUAUUUUUAUAUACAAAUCAUUUCAUACUUAAAAUGUUUUAAUAAAUAAAUAAAAGAGAAAAUAAAUAAAUUAAGUAAAUACUUAAAGUAAUAAGUGGAUGCAAAUAAAUCAAUUUUGAUAUAUAUAUAUAACAAAAUUAUUGAAUUUACACAUCAAAAUUAAUCUAUCAUAAAUAAGAUUAUCUUCUUGUUAAUAAAAUAAUAAAUUAUAAAAUAUAAUGAUUUUUCCUAUUAAAAUAAAUUUUUUAUGUAAAAAGUGAAAAUUCAUAAAUUAUACUCUUUCUCACUUUUUUUUAUUUUAUGCCCAAGGCAUUUAUCAAAUUACCAAAUCAGUCUAUUUACUUUAAGAAAUUAUUUUCUUUUUCAUUUAUAUUAAAACAAUAUAAAUUUGCAUAAUUUGAAAUACAAUUAGAUUUGAACAUACUUAAAUUGCCUACUAAAAGAAUUGCAAAAAUUAUCUCUUUAUUUACUUAUAUAUAGAAAUGCAUAUAAAUUAAUCCAUCUUUUUAUGUUUUUGAAGAAGAAAUUUAGUUUAUUAGUGAUUUUAAGAAAUGUUUCAAACCUUUUUAACAUUUAAAAUUUUGAAUCAUUCAAAUGUUAGAAAAGCUAAAAACAUUUUCUAAAAUCACUAUCAAACACACUUUUAGAGCAUAUUUUAAUAUUUCUAAUAUUUUAAAAUUUUUAUCAUUCAAGUAUUAGAAAUACUAAAAAUACUUUCUAAAAUCACUUUCAAACACACUUUUUAAGCAUUUCUAAUAUUUGAAAAAUAAAAUAUUUUAAAUAUUAAAAAAACUAAAAACAUUUUUCAGAAUCACUAUCAAACUAACUCUUAGAGUUCAUUUGAUAGUAAUUUGAGGAAGCGUUUUUAACAUUUCUAAUACUUGAAAUUUUUUAUCAUUCAAGUAUUAAAAAUGCUAAAAAAACUUUAUAGAAUCAUUUUCAAAUGUACUCUUAGAAUCCAUUUUAUAGUAAUUUUAAAAAACGCUUCUAGCAUUUUUCUUUCAGUAUUAAAAAUAUUAAAAAUACUUUUUAGAAUCAUUGUAAAAUAUACUCUUAACCUAUGAGGUUGUUUUUCCACCCGAACCAAUGAAAGCAACAAAGCUUUUAAUAGCCUUCGAAAAUUCUGAAGGGUGAUUUUAUAGAAACCGCUAGUCCACGAGAAAUGAAUUAGUUUCGAUAUCUGUUUCCUUGGCAAUAUUAUAAUUAAUAAGUUAGGAUACGUGUUUGCCUAGCAAUACUGAUGCAGUGAGCAAUGUAUGGGAACAAAAUAGCACAUACAUUUAAAAUGCAAAAGAGGUGUCUUAACAUUUGUAUGCAUGCAAGUGAUGGUAGAUAUCACAAUCAAUGGUUGCACAAACCAUGGAUCUAAGAAAUUGUUAUCAACCUUCACAAUCUUGCAAAUUGUUUCCACCGCAAGAUCUCCCUUGUAGAUAUUCCUUGAGAUCAAAAUUACAGAAACUAAAUUAGUAAGGCCACAAGAAUAUAUUCUAAUAUUUGCAGCCACAAAAAGAUAAGCAAGAUGUCAUGGACAACAUUUUAUAUUACCAGUAGUUUAAUGA
rnacentral:lncRNA from 1 species